rnacentral:lncRNA from 1 species
CCCAACUGAGUGCUUGUUUGCAUUAGCAUUAAAAGACAUAGAGUCUGGACUGAUUUGAGAAAUAGAUUGAACUUGUCUCUGUUUCUCAUCAUUAAGCAGUAUAUUGUAAACACUGUCAAGGGAAGGAAAUGGCUGCAUCAUCAACAGAUUACUCCUAAACCCCAUGUAUGCUUCAUUUAACCACAUAAGAAACUGGAAUACCUUGUUUUCAUAAUCUUCCCCAAUUAUUCCAUUUUUAGCAGCACACACACAUCUCUGCCCAUGAUUUGUGCAUAUUGUGCCAAACUCAUCCCACAGGCCUUUGAGCUUAUUAAAGUAUGAGGCUACGUCUAAGUAGCCUUGAGAUGUGUGGGAAAGUUCCCUUUUUAAUUCAAAGAUUUUGGUCUUGUUAGGGGUACCAUAUCUUUUCUCAAUUUGGGACCAUAUACUCN